AACGUCAGGAGAGGAGGAAACAGCUUUUGAGCAAGCAGAAAUAUGCAGAUGGUGCUUUUGCAGAUUUCAAACAAGAGAGGCCUUUUGGUCACUUAGAAGAGGUGCCAAAGAUCAAGGAGAGGAAAGUGGUGGGCUACAAAUGUAAAUUCUGUGUGGAAGUGCACCCAACGCUCCGAGCCAUCUGCAAUCACCUCCGAAAGCACGUCCAGUAUGGCAAUGUCCCAGCUGUGUCAGCUGCUGUGAAGGUUGGACCUUCCUCAUCUUUCUGUUCAGGGAAAGGUCGAGUUUCGAUCUGGUUUCCUUCCACGCGGAUAGUUUGGUGGCAACAGAAGGUCCAGGAUUCUCGGUCUAGGAGGCUUCGGGUCGUCCUUCUAUUCUGCGUUUAGUGCCAUUAGCUCUUCGUUCUUCCAAGUUGCCCGAGCUCUUGAGAGGAAUCAAGAGGCGGAUGACCCUGCCCACUUGUUCCUGGAUGGAUUGGAAGCAGCCAAAGACGCCAGUGGCGCCCUGGUGGGCCGGGUGGAUGGUGAACACUGCUUGCUUGAUGGAAUGUUGGAGGAUGAAACCCGGCCGGGGGGAUACCAUUGCAGUCAAUGUGACAGAGUCCUGAUGUCCAUGCAGGGGCUGCGUUCUCAUGAGAGGAGCCACCUGGCCCUGGCCAUGUUUACCCGCGAGGACAAGUACAGCUGCCAGUAUUGCUCCUUUGUUUCUGCUUUCAGGCACAAUUUGGAUCGCCAUAUGCAAACCCACCACGGACACCAUAAACCAUUCCGAUGCAAACUCUGCUCCUUCAAGUCCUCCUAUAACAGCCGGCUGAAAACACAUAUACUCAAAGCUCAUGCUG
rnacentral:sRNA from 1 species